UGUCAGGGGGGACGAAAGCCAGUGUAAGCUGGCUGGACGGUACCUCCAGAGGAAGCACCGGCUAACUCCGUGCCAGCAGCCGCGGUAAUACGGAGGGUGCGAGCGUUGUCCGGAAUCAUUGGGCGUAAAGCGCACGUAGGCGGUGGGGUAAGUCUUGUGGUGAAAGGCCGGGGCUCAACCCCGGGCAGGCCCGAGAGACUGCCCCGCUGGAGACAGGCAGAGGCCAGCGGAAUUCCGGGUGUAGCGGUGGAAUGCGUAGAGAUCCGGAAGAACACCGGAGGCGAAGGCGGCUGGCUGGGCCUGAUCUGACGCUGAGGUGCGAAAGCGUGGGGAGCGAACAGGAUUAGAUACCCUGGUAGUCCACGCCGUAAACGGUGGACACUAGAUGCUGGGGGGAUCGACCCUCUCGGUGUCGGAAGCUAACGCGUUAAGUGUCCCGCCUGGGGAGUACGGCCGCAGGGCUGAAACUCAAAGGAAUUGACGGGGGCCCGCACAAGCGGUGGAGCAUGUGGUUUAAUUCGAAGCAACGCGAAGAACCUUACCUGGGCUUGACAUGCUAAGGAAACCCUCGGGAAACCGGGGGCCCUCUUCGGAGCCUUAGCACAGGUGCUGCAUGGCUG
rnacentral:rRNA from 1 species